AGUGAACGCUGGCGGUAGGCCUAACACAUGCAAGUCGAACGGCAGCACAGUAAGAGCUUGCUCUUACGGGUGGCGAGUGGCGGACGGGUGAGGGAUACAUCGGAAUCUACCUUUUCGUGGGGGAUAACGUAGGGAAACUUACGCUAAUACAGCAUACGACCUACGGGUGAAAGCAGGGGAUCUUCGGACCUUGCGCGAUUGAAUGAGCCGAUGUCGGAUUAGCUAGUUGGCGGGGUAAAGGCCCACCAAGGCGACGAUCCGUAGCUGGUCUGAGAGGAUGAUCAGCCACACUGGAACUGAGACACGGUCCAGACUCCUACGGGAGGCAGCAGUGGGGAAUAUUGGACAAUGCGCGCAAGCCUGCUCCAGCCAUACCGCGUGGGUGAAGAAGGCCUUCGGGUUGUAAAGCCCUUUUGUUGGGAAAGAAAAGCAGCAGGUUAAUACCCCGCUGUUCUGACGGUACCCAAAGAAUAAGCACCGGCUAACUUCGUG
rnacentral:rRNA from 1 species